UACGUAGGGUGCGAGCGUUAAUCGGAAUUACUGGGCGUAAAGCGUGCGCAGGCGGUUCGUUAAGUCAGAUGUGAAAGCCCCGGGCUCAACCUGGGAACUGCAUUUGAAACUGGCGGGCUUGAGUGCGGCAGAGGAGACUGGAAUUCCUGGUGUAGCAGUGAAAUGCGUAGAUAUCAGGAGGAAUACCGAUGGCGAAGGCAGGUCUCUGGGCUGACACUGACGCUCAUGCACGAAAGCGUGGGGAGCAAACAGG
rnacentral:rRNA from 1 species